rnacentral:rRNA from 1 species
GACGAACCGUGCGAACGUUCUUCGGAAUCACUGGGCUUAAAGCGCGUGUAGGCGGAUGGGUGCGUCGGCUUCUGAAAGCCCCCGGCUCAACCGGGGAAGUGGGGCCGAAACGACCCGUCUGGAGGGACGUAGGGGGAUCUGGAACUUCCGGUGGAGCGGUGAAAUGCGUUGAGAUCGGAAGGAACGCCCGUGGCGAAAGCGAGAUCCUGGACGUCUUCUGACGCUGAGACGCGAAAGCUAGGGGAGCAAACGGG